rnacentral:misc_RNA from 1 species
UUUCCGUAGGUGAACCUGCGGAAGGAUCAUUAUUGAAUUAAACAAAAAAUAUGGUCGGUUGAUUGCUGGCUUUUAGAAAGCAUUGUGCACACUUUGGCCUAUUUUUUCCAAUACUCUCUUUUGUGCAUCUUGUGUAGAUUUUGAAUCAAUUAUCGAGAUGACUCGGUCAGAGAUUUGCUGUGCAAAAAAGCCUAGCUUUUCUUGUAAUCUUUAAUCUACAAUUUUUAUUCAAUCUUUUUGUAUCCUGAAUGUAUAUGUCAGAGGCCUAUCUUUAGUGUCUUUGAAAAAAUCAAAUACAACUUUCAACAACGGAUCUCUUGGCUCUCGCAUCGAUGAAAAACGCAGCGAAAUGCGAUAAGUAAUGUGAAUUGCAGAAUUCAGUGAAUCAUCGAAUUUUUGAACGCAUCUUGCGCUUCUUGGUAUUCCGAGGAGCAUGCCUGUUUGAGUGUUAUACAAUUUUCAACCUGUUAGUUUUUUCUUGUCUGAAAAUGCUUCAAAUAUGGCUUGAAUUUUGGAAGUUGCUGGUUUUUUUAAAAUGUCUAAUCAGCUCUUCUCAAAUAUAUUAGUAAUGAUUAUUGCCAAUUCAGUUUUGAUAUGAUAAUUACUUGUAUCAUUAUUGUAAUGGAUUUUCUUUAUG